AAUACCUUUAGUGGCGAACGGGUGAGUAACGCGUUGGUGACCUGCCCCGAAGCGUGGGAUAACAGUCCGAAAGGAUUGCUAAUACCGCAUGUGGUCCAAGAGACUAGAGGCUUAUGGACUAAAGGAGACAUUCACUUCGGGAGGGGCCUGCGUCCCAUCAGCUAGUUGGUAGGGUAACGGCCUACCAAGGCGAUGACGGGUAGGGGACCUGAGAGGGUGGCCCCCCACAAUGGAACUGAAACACGGUCCAUACACCUACGGGUGGCAGCAGUAGGGAAUAUUGCAAAAUGGGCGCAAGCCCGAUGCAGCAACGCCGCGUGGGCGAUGAAGGCCUUCGGGUCGUAAAGCCCUUUUUGAGGGGAUGAGGAAGGACAGUACCCUCAGAAUAAGCCUCGGCUAACUACGUGCCAGCAGCCGCGGUAAAACGUAGGAGGCGAGCGUUAUCCGGAUUUACUGGGCGUAAAGCGCGUGCAGGCGGAUUGGAGAGUUGGAUGUGAAAGCUCCCGGCUUAACUGGGAGAGGUCGUUCAAUACUUCCAGUCUUGAGUGCAGUAGAGGGAAGUGGAAUUCCGGGUGUAGUGGUGAAAUGCGUAGAUAUCCGGAGGAACACCAGUGGCGAAAGCGGCUUCCUGGCCUGUAACUGACGCUCAGACGCGAAAGCUAGGGUAGCGAACGGGAUUAGAGACCCCGGUAGUCCUAGCUGUAAACGAUGUAGACUUGGUGUCGGCGGGUUUAAAUCCGUCGGUGCCGAAGCAAACGCGAUAAGUUUACCGCCUGGGGACUACGGCCGCAAGGUUAAAACUCAAAGGAAUUGACGG
rnacentral:rRNA from 1 species